AAGAGCCAAAUGAAUCAAAAGAUUCAUAUUUGGUUCGGGAAGGGAUCAUGGAAGUUUUACAAUGAAUGAAAAGAUAAUCUACUUUCAU
rnacentral:ncRNA from 1 species